GGCGUGCCUAAUACAUGCAAGUAGAACGCUGAAGAGAGGAGCUUGCUCUUCUUGGAUGAGUUGCGAACGGGUGAGUAACGCGUAGGUAACCUGCCUUGUAGCGGGGGAUAACUAUUGGAAACGAUAGCUAAUACCGCAUAACAAUAGGUGACACAUGUCAUUUAUUUGAAAGGGGCAAUUGCUCCACUACAAGAUGGACCUGCGUUGUAUUAGCUAGUAGGUGAGGUAACAGCUCACCUAGGCGACGAUACAUAGCCGACCUGAGAGGGUGAUCGGCCACACUGGGACUGAGACACGGCCCAGACUCCUACGGGAGGCAGCAGUAGGGAAUCUUCGGCAAUGGGGGCAACCCUGACCGAGCAACGCCGCGUGAGUGAAGAAGGUUUUCGGAUCGUAAAGCUCUGUUGUAAGUCAAGAACGAGUGUGAGAGUGGAAAGUUCACACUGUGACGGUAGCUUACCAGAAAGGGACGGCUAACUACGUGCCAGCAGCCGCGGUAAUACGUAGGUCCCGAGCGUUGUCCGGAUUUAUUGGGCGUAAAGCGAGCGCAGGCGGUUUGAUAAGUCUGAAGUUAAAGGCUGUGGCUCAACCAUAGUUCGCUUUGGAAACUGUCAAACUUGAGUGCAGAAGGGGAGAGUGGAAUUCCAUGUGUAGCGGUGAAAUGCGUAGAUAUAUGGAGGAACACCGGUGGCGAAAGCGGCUCUCUGGUCUGUAACUGACGCUGAGGCUCGAAAGCGUGGGGAGCGAACAGGAUUAGAUACCCUGGUAGUCCACGCCGUAAACGAUGAGUGCUAGGUGUUGGAUCCUUUCCGGGAUUCAGUGCCGCAGCUAACGCAUUAAGCACUCCGCCUGGGGAGUACGACCGCAAGGUUGAACUCAAAGGAAUUGACGGGGGCCCGCACAAGCGGUGGAGCAUGUGGUNUAAUUCGAAGCAACGCGAAGAACCUUACCAGGUCUUGACAUCCCGAUGCUAUUUCUAGAGAUAGAAAGUUACUUCGGUACAUCGGUGACAGGUGGUGCAUGGUUGUCGUCAGCUCGUGUCGUGAGAUGUUGGGUUAAGUCCCGCAACGAGCGCAACCCCUAUUGUUAGUUGCCAUCAUUCAGUUGGGCACUCUAGCGAGACUGCCGGUAAUAAACCGGAGGAAGGUGGGGAUGACGUCAAAUCAUCAUGCCCCUUAUGACCUGGGCUACACACGUGCUACAAUGGUUGGUACAACGAGUUGCGAGUCGGUGACGGCAAGCUAAUCUCUUAAAGCCAAUCUCAGUUCGGAUUGUAGGCUGCAACUCGCCUACAUGAAGUCGGAAUCGCUAGUAAUCGCGGAUCAGCACGCCGCGGUGAAUACGUUCCCGGGCCUUGUACACACCGCCCGUCACACCACGAGAGUUUGUAACACCCGAAGUCGGUGAGGUAACCUUUUGGAGCCAGCCGCCUAAGGUGGGAUAGAUGAUUGGGGUGAAGUCGUAACAAGG
rnacentral:rRNA from 1 species